CCCCAUUCUCCUAUUUUUCUUUUUUUUCUCGCUGUCACAUCUUUUUUCACACUGCACCAAGCUAAGACUUAAACUAAAUGGCCACAUUCCUCUAUUUUCUAUUUUAAAGGAUGUGGGUCUCACAUGAGGAGGGAUUACACCAACAAAUCUCUUUUUUCUAACUCAUGUGAGAGAUUCCGCCCAGCCCACUUUUUCUCUAUAAGUAAUCAACUUUUUUAUGGGCAAAAUUUUAGUCAUCAUAUCCAACCCAUGGUAUCAGUAUGGAUUUUCUUAAGACAAAGCAAU
rnacentral:lncRNA from 1 species